rnacentral:misc_RNA from 1 species
AAGUCGUAACAAGGUUUCCGUAGGUGAACCUGCGGAAGGAUCAUUACCAAAACUUUAGGUUUAUUCCCCUUCUUAGGGUUGGUAGCCAUACCCUUUGUCUACGUGUACCUAUCGUUGUUUCCUCGGGGGGCUAUUUGCCCCCUGCAUAGGAAUGACCCCUUAAAACCCUUUGUAUUAAUAGUAUUAAACCUCUGAUAACUACCUAAAUAAUCACAA